GAUGAACGCUGGCGGCGUGCCUAAUACAUGCAAGUCGAGCGAACAGACGAGGAGCUUGCUCCUCUGACGUUAGCGGCGGACGGGUGAGUAACACGUGGAUAACCUACCUAUAAGACUGGGAUAACUUCGGGAAACCGGAGCUAAUACCGGAUAAUAUAUUGAACCGCAUGGUUCAAUAGUGAAAGACGGUUUUGCUGUCACUUAUAGAUGGAUCCGCGCCGCAUUAGCUAGUUGGUAAGGUAACGGCUUACCAAGGCAACGAUGCGUAGCCGACCUGAGAGGGUGAUAGGCCACACUGGAACUGAGACACGGUCCAGAGUCCUACGGGAGGCAGCAGUAGGGAAUCUUCCGCAAUGGGCGAAAGCCUGACGGAGCAACGCCGCGUGAGUGAUGAAGGUCUUCGGAUCGUAAAACUCUGUUAUUAGGGAAGAACAAAUGUGUAAGUAACUAUGCACGUCUUGACGGUACCUAAUCAGAAAGCCACGGCUAACUACGUG
rnacentral:rRNA from 1 species